UACGAAGGGGGCUAGCGUUGCUCGGAAUCGACUGGGCGUAAAGGGUGCGUAGGCGGGUCUUUAAGUCAGGGGUGAAAGUCCUGGAAGCCUCAACUCCAGUAAACUGCCUUUGAGCUACUGAGGAUCGUUGAGUUCGGGAGAGGUGAGGUGGAACUGCGAGUGUAGAGGUGGAAAUUCGUAGAUAUUCGCAAGAACACCAGUGGCGGAAGG
rnacentral:rRNA from 1 species